ACAAUAGUAUUUGCACAAAGAUUAGAGGAGAAUGAGAUUGACAGAAAGAUUCCAGACCUCUUUUACAGGUGAGAAACCUCAAGUUCCAGUAGAUGCGUCUCUUGGGUCGAAACCCAAGUAUACAUUUAAUCACUUCCAUGAGUCUGUUCAUUUUAGUGUUAACCAAUCAACACUUCUUUUCACCAAAUGAUGCUAUUUGUUCCUAACCAUUUUGUGUGAUCAAUCCUUCAAAACACCUGUUGAUAUCAUAACUACUUUAAGGUAUUUAUCAGUCAUAACCGUCCGCAAUGUAUUUUGAAAUACAUCACCAUAAUACCAACAGAACAGAGUGAACUAAUUUGUUCAAUUUCAAUGAUUUUUCCUUCAAUUUCAGUGUGUUCCGUCGAUUUUUCCCUCCUAUCUCCAUUCUCGAUCUUUCUCCUGUCCAUCGAACUCUUCUUCCUUCGAGAAUUUAUCAUCUUCAUCAAGUAACAGUACUGAUCCCAGGCCAACCAACACAAAUUUAAACCUAAAUUUCGUUAUUGAGACUGAAGGAGAUUGGAGAUUUCAGCAGAUGGGAUUUGAAUCUGAACUGAGGUGAUGGAGAGUUGCAGAAGAUUUAAGAAAGGGGGUGUUGUUGGUUGUUACUUUCUUGAAGAGUAUUGAGCAGAAUAAGGAGAAGCUGGUGAUGAUUACUGUGUUAAUGAGUUUGAUUUCAGAGGUUAGGGUUUGGAAAAUCUGAGAUUGAACUGAAGAGAUGGUGAUGAAUUGGAAGAUGGGUUGUGGUUGAUUUGAUGAGAAAGAAGAUGGAUGUGCUGUAGCUAGGUUAAAAAGUUCAGAAUGGGUUUGAUGAUAAAUGGUGAUGGCAGUGAUUGAGAUGGAAAAUCGAAGAUAUGUGAUGUUAUUGUUAUUUUAAAUUCUGAAUUGUUUUUCGAUCAUUUUACUUUCAUUCUAAUUGAAUGCUAAUUACUGUUAAUUUUUACAGGUUGAUAAGCUUAAAAAGAAGUUAAGACAUGAAGUGUGCAUAGAGCUUUGUAGAGAGAUUUCACUCGGCCUUUGGGAGCUUUACCUCGUUUGCCUCCUUAUCUCCCUCAAAAUGUCAGCAGCCCAACAUUCUCGAGCAGCCACCAAUGCUUUCCUAAGGGGCGAUCAUUACUCUACCCAAGAACUCUUGCGGAAGGCACAUCCAGAGUGGAUGACUGCUGAAAGUCUGAAUUUUAAGGCAGCCCAAGAAAUUUGAAGUAUAAGGAAUCACAAAAAUGAUGCAUGGAAGCUAGACCUGCAUGGUUUGCAUGCAUCUGAAGCUGUUCACGACGCCUUGAAAGAACGUCUUUGGAGGAUUGAGACUCAAUUCCCACUUACUGUGCAUCCCAAUAAAGUUGUCAAACCAAUUGAUUCCAGUAGUUACCUUAGCGUGGCCGGACAGACAGAAAAAGAGGAGGGAAUGACAUUACAGAGACCAGGGGUUUUACAAGUUAUAACAGAUGUUGUUUUUUCUUAAUUGGUGCUGGUGAUCUUUUUCAAUUGCAAAUGGCUGUUGUAUUAGAACCAUUAUCAACAUAAUACAAUUUUGGUGUUGUCUAAUAACGACAUAAGGUGGUAUUGAUUGUUAAAUGUCAGGGGAAAUUGAGCUCGUUGUAGGUGAACAGGGAAGAACGGAUCGAUUGCAGGUGGCUGUAGCUGCUGGCUGAGAUGCAACGAGUGGAUUUGGGUUGAAGCUGUUAAUGUUUGCAGCCUUGAAUAUAGUUAGAAUCAACUCCAUGAACUAAUGAUUGCAUGCACUAGAGAGUAGUAUGCCGGUGGUCACAUGGAUCGAUUUCAGGUGGUGGUCGUUUGGGUCCAUCUGUGGCUAGAGAUGCUUAUGAGAUACCAACAAGAAGUGGACAUAUGUGCUGGCUGGAUUUUUAAGAGAUUGCAGGCAAUGUUGGUUGUUGUUUGAAUCGGCCAGUUAACAUGAAUGCAGGUGUUUCAGUCUGUAGUAACUGGUGGGUGACUUAGACGUGGAUGAACAUUGGUGAUGAAGUUCAGUUCUGCGGCCAGGGAUGGAUAUAAGAUGGUAUGGUCGGAUCUUGGGAGGAUUUGCCGGAGUUUGUGCAUCCCGUAAUGACGAGAUUUAGAAGGCUCAAGUCAAAGAAACUUUUUGCAAUCAGUGGCCAAGACAGUAAGAGAUAAAAAGUGUUAUUGGAAUUGAAUUUGGUUGCAGUUGUGUUGUAGCCUGGAUGGAGAACGAAUUGGCAGCAAAAAUACUUGUGACUUAACAGCCUCCAAGAACCUCAUGUAGAUGCUAUUUCAGAUCCCAGACUAAGGCCAAAAUGUGUGAACCGAUCCAUAAGAGCAGCAAAGGCAUUUCCACUUGAUGGACUCAUACAAAGAAUGGUGGUUCCAACAAAGUCCUGCCAAUCUGGUGGCUUUUGCUGUAUAACAACAUUUAAUCAAAACCCAUCCAAAUUUAAAAAGAAAUUGAACAACGGUACUGGCUACUUCUCCAAUAGAAAGAGCAAUUACCAUUUGUUGAUAUUAAAACAAAAUACAAACAAUGAUUAUCCAUGAUCGACACUUACAUCUGAGACUAAACCCAUUGCUUUCAUGUUAGUAAUGUUAAACUUAUCAAGUGUUGUUCUGUUUUUGAAAUCAAAUAAGAAUGGGUUGCACAGACGCGGACAAGAC